rnacentral:lncRNA from 1 species
AGAGAGAAAGAGAGAGAGAGAGACAGAGAGAGACAGAGAGACAGAGACAGAGACAGAGACAGAGAGAGAAAGAGAGACACUAAGUGUGUCCAGUAGAAAUGAUCAAUGAGUUAAAUUCCAUUUAGCUUUCCUCCCUCUCACUAAAGGACUCAAGAUGGGUAUCCCUGUGAUGAUGUUUGAGCAGGGAUGGUCAGAGACUGCUGCCUAGACAAGAGAUUUCUGUGGGUUGAGGAAUAGACUUUUUCCUAGGGCUUUGCUGAAACCUGGGACCCAAGAAAGCCUCCUCUGGGAAGAGCCCUGUCUGGAAAGGCUGAAUGGCUGUCAGCUCUGGAUUUUGUUUUGACCAAAGCUUGAUGGAGGAUAUAUUGAUACCACUAAGGGGAAAAUUGUGAUCUAGAAGGUAUACCCAUUAUUUCUUUAAUUUCUUCUUCACUCAUAUGGUACAUUUAGUAUUUUCCCUAAUAAUAAUAUUUUUCUUUAUUUUUAAGACAAAUUAACCAGUG